AAUGGGCAGAUUAGCUUACUUCACAUAUUUUAAAAUCAGUGAAGAGGCUUUGAUCUCCUGUAUUGCUUCUUCUCAGCAAGGGCCCUGGUCAUACCCAUAUCGAGAUGAAUACUUCCUUCAGCCAAGUCAUGUCACAGUGGAAGAUACCUGGCCUUUCAGACUUCAUGAGAUUUACAAAUCUACCACUUUCCUUGGGCUUUUGUACUCACUGCUGCUCAGAACUUCAGGAUGAAGAUCAGUGCAAAAGCAAUGGAAAAUUCCCUGGGGGCAUGAGACACCUGUGGCAGUACCUGAGGUUAAAAAAACAAAACAAAAAGUUUGUGAACUCUUUUAUGCAAGCUGUGAGAUGUGCCAAGGGGACCUGAUCCUGCAGUACCAAAGCUGGCAAUUUCUGGUAAGUCCUUCGCUCUAUGCAAACCUCCCUUUGCCAUCCCUGGAAGGCAGACAAUGCAUGUGCAGUUUGAAGU
rnacentral:lncRNA from 1 species